AGUGAACGCUGGCGGUAGACCUAACACAUGCAAGUCGAACGGCAGCACAGUAAGAGCUUGCUCUUACGGGUGGCGAGUGGCGGACGGGUGAGGAAUACAUCGGAAUCUACUUUUUCGUGGGGGAUAACGUAGGGAAACUUACGCUAAUACCGCAUACGACCUACGGGUGAAAGCAGGGGAUCUUCGGACCUUGCGCGAUUGAAUGAGCCGAUGUCGGAUUAGCUAGUUGGCGGGGUAAAGGCCCACCAAGGCGACGAUCCGUAGCUGGUCUGAGAGGAUGAUUAGCUACACUAGAACAUAGGCACGAUCCAGUCUCCUACGGUAGGCAGCAAUGGGAAAUAGUGGACAAUUGGCGCAAGCCUGAUGCAGCCAUACCGCGUAGGUGAAGAAGGCCUUCGGGUUGUAAAUCCCUUUUGUUGGGAAAGAAAAGCAGCAGGUUAAUACCCCGCUGUUCUGACGGUACCCAAAGAAUAAGGACCGGCUAACUUCGUG
rnacentral:rRNA from 1 species